AUACAUUUGACGUUAACUCGUUCAUUGGUUGGGUCGUCGAGGGUGCUUGGUGUCCUGGAUAUGGAAGCCAAAGAAGGCAUAUGGGUUCGAAAGCUCCUUUUAAUGCCCUCAUUUGAGCGUUCUUGCUUCUCUCACACGAUCGCCUUUGCACGUAUGGCACGUCCCAGCGUGAUUGGCCACAUCGGAGAGGGAUGCAUUGAGCGUUCUUGCUUUUCUCACACGACCGCCUUUGCACGUAUGGCACGUCCCAGCGUGAUUG
rnacentral:misc_RNA from 1 species